GACUUGACCUCAAAUCAGGUAGGACUACCCGCUGAACUUAAGCAUAU
rnacentral:rRNA from 1 species